ensembl:lncRNA
GUUUCUUGCCACCGAACCAUCCUUGACUAAGACACCUUACGACACAGCUGCUGGCCCGCCCCCGGCUUGCCUCCGGCUCGCCCCCCACCGCCCACUCCCUCUCUCUUUCCUUCUCCCGGAGUCUGUUUCCCGUUUCUAUUGAGACAGCCACGCUGCACACACAGGGCCUGAAUUCUCACUUGAACAAACGCUGGCCUGGCCUGGUCCCAAAGAGGACAAGCAGCAACCCCGUGACUUAGCCACACAACAGGUGAGCCGGGCCGUGCCAGCAUUCACACCAACUUGCCUCGGACCUGCUGGGCUGACUGUGAGAGCCUCCCGACAACAAGCCGGACUGCCUGGGCCGGAAUUCCUGGACGUUUGCAGCAGCCAUGUCCUGAGAGCCGCGGGAGUUGAUUCGCCGAAGCGGUAGUGACUGUAUUAUACAGACCCAACUCCUACACGCACGUGUUUCCAUCAGUGUGAGUAAGAGAUGAAGCGCAGGACUUCCCGAUGAUCCAGUGGUUAAGAACCCACCUUCCAGGACAGGGGAGGCAGGUUCAGUCCUGCUCCAAGAACUGAGAUCCCACCUGCAGCCGGGAAGCUCAGCCUGCACCCCGUGACUGCAGAAGCCCAAGCACCACGGCUGAGACCCAACACAGCCAGAUACACAAAGACUUCCUGAAAGAAAUGAGUCAGUAAUUAUGGGCACACGAUCAGAACUGCACCUAUCAUGCUUGCUUUCGACUUGAUGACUACAGAGACUGGCACCACGGGAGGAGGAGAAAAGGCUGAGGGGGGGGUGGUCACAGACACCCUUGGCUUAAGGGGCCCUAGACCGGCACCACCGUGCCCCUGUCCUUACCGCUGGUGGCCGUGGACUUGGCUGUGAUUUAUUUUGCUGACGUAUGAAUGCAUGGAUUUUUUGUUCUAUCUUGUAUGCCAUAUUGGCAUUCCUCCAUGAUAUGCAGAAUUGCUUUUGUCAGCUUUGAUUAAACAGCCCAUGGUUUUAUGUUUCCAAUAAGAAAAUAUAUCUGUGAAAUACCUUUAUUAUUGAAAAUCCUGCAGUAAAAAACAAUCAUGGUGCCUAUAAGUUUCUAGCUAUAUUUUCAACUAUUAAAGCAAUUAUUUUUUAAUUUGGUUUUUUGAUAAGCGAAAGCUUCUUAGAAAUGCCAAGUAUGAUCUUAAUAGAAAAUAGAGUGUACGGUGAAAUACCAGUUAACCAGAACACCUUUUCUGGUUAAGC